UAGGGAAUCUUCCACAAUGACGCAAGUCUGAUGGAGCAACGCCGCGUGAGUGAAGAAGGCUUUCGGGUCGUAAAACUCUGUUAUUGAAGAAGAACGUGUGUGCAGUAACUGGUCAUGCAGUGACGUAUUCAAUCAGAAAGUCACGGCUAACUACGUGCCAGCAGCCGCGGUAAUACGUAGGUGGCAAGCGUUGUCCGGAUUUAUUG
rnacentral:rRNA from 1 species